AGCCAUUGAUGAAUUUCCUAUAAACUUUCUGACACCUCGUAUGAAUGCUGCUUUUGCAGUAUCUGAUUACAUAACUUAUCUGAGGCUA